rnacentral:tRNA from 1 species
CAGCAGGUGGCAUAGUGGUUAGUGCUGCUGCCUUCCACUCAACAGACACGGGUUUGAUUCACAAGUCCUACUGC